GGCCGGGAGAGAAAGGGAGACAGAAUCUGAAGCAGGCUCCAGGCUCUGAGCUGUCAGCACAGAGCCUGAUGCGGGGCUCAAACUCACAAACCAGGACAUCAUGAGCUGAGCUGAAGUCCACUGAGCCACCCAGGCGCCCUCUCUUUUAGUCACCUCUACACCUGCACCCACUAUUUCCAAAACAGAAGAAAGCAAAGGAAGCUAUUGACAAGUCUCCUUCCAACCAAAACAGGAGUCUGGGAAUGGUUUAACAUAAAGAGAAGACAGCACAAAUGCAGACCUUUCACAUUAGAUAAGAUGCUUUCUUCUCUUAACAGAGUACAAAUUACCACAUUUCAAUUAGUUCUUUUGGAGCCAGAAAAGGUACAGGUGCACAUUUUACUUUCAUUUCUCUGUCCUGUGUAUUCUCUCCAACAGAAAAGCAACUUCGGGAAUUCUUUUGGAGUUAGAGGAUUAUCACAUUAAUAAGGAACUUAAAGGCCUUAUUUUAACAUUUACUUCUUUUUUUUCAAGGGUAACCUUUCUAAUAUUAAUCAUCAUGUUGAGGAUUCUGUGAGAAAUGAUACAAAAUAUAAUAGAAGAGGACCAUCAUGGUGUUCCUUAGAGAUUAACUAGAAAAGGGUCAUCUCCAACUUUUGGUUGAAGUCCAUCCUGCUUCUACUUCUGAAAGGCAGCAAGUUUUCCUGGAAAGAACAUCAAGCUAGUCAACAUCAGAGAUGCCCCCCCCACCCCCACCGAAGGGAUCACCACCUUUGACUAUUCCUUCCUCAUUUACUCAAGGGAUCCAGAUCCAUAUCCACCAUAUGAAAACAAUAAAAACAACAAAUUUUGCUCCAGUUUGCUGGCCCCUGCUUCCAAGGUAGGCCUCCUGCCCAUAGAAGAUCUGUUUGUUUUGUCAUCGUUUUUCAGAGAAAAUUCAGUUAAAAACCUAUAUUCUUUUUUGGGGUUUAUGGUUCAUUUGAAGUAUUGUGCCUCAUUUGCCUGGUCUCUUCAAGAAAUUGCUCUGCUGGUGCCUUAUCAGCUUCACUCCUCACAGCAUGUAAACCAAUGACUGUUGGGCUAUUACCACCUGCAAGGCAUCUCCCCCCACCAACUUUUUUCUUUUCUUUUGGAAGGGGAUCAGGGGGAGUGGUGGUGGAAAUCAAAUUUAGACUCCCCUUGAAGUUUUAGAGAACACUCUUAAAAUGGACUCUUUUGCUUCCUACAAUCCUUCCAGGUAACUGCAUGCACACAAACUCCAUUUCCACAGAAUGUGAGAUUUUACUCAUCAAAAAGUCUUCAUAAUCAACUGACAACCUAUCUGCUUCAACAGUGUUGAAUCUCUUUCAGUAUUUCAAAUAUGUCUGUGUCUACUGAUGCUAUGUUAGUUCUUAAGUCUCAAAAUUAUCCUUUAGCAUUAAAAUAAAACCUGCAUUGUUGAAACCUAAGUACCUUGGGUAUAAAAAUCUGAAUAGUUAUUUGCAUAUGAUGGUGACAAGUGAUAGUGUGGGGUGAAGCAUAAACAUAUGGUUUCUAAUUUCGUGGACUUCAAAUACAAUUUACCCCCUAAAAGCUAAAGAGAUGUUUAACUAAAAGUUAACGAGAUUAGUUUCCUAUAAUUGCUAAUUGCAAGUUAGUGGUUUAAAACAACGCAAGCGUAUUCUCUUACAGUUCUGGAGACCCAAAGUCUGAAAUGGCUUCCACCAAUGCUGCAUUCCUCCUGGAGACUGGAGGGAAGAAUCCAUUUCCUUGUCUUUUCCAGCUUGCAGAGGCUAACUAUAGUCCUUGGCACUUGACCCCUUGCUCUAUCUUCAAAGACAACAACACAGCAUACAAAUCUCUCUGACCUUCCCCCCACCACCACUCUCCCUCUUAUAUGGACCCUGUGAUUACAGUGGACCCAUGUGAAUUACCCAGAAUGCUCUUCCCAAUUUAAGAGCCUGAACUUAGUCACACCUGCAAAGUCCCUUUAACCAUGGCACAUCACAUAUUCACAGGUUCUGAACAUUAGCAUGUGGACAUCCGGGGUGUGGGGGUUGGGGGAGGCAUUAUUAAGCCUAACAACAGUAAACUGUCUACAAUAUAAUGCUUACUCUAAAGAAGAUAGUUAUUCUUUAAAAUUUCAUUAGAAAUCAAGGUAUUUACUUUUCAUUAGACAAGUUAAUCACAGUCAGGUCAGAACUGUUAAAGUAAAUUCGAAUGAGAAACUUUCCAAUUCCACUCCACAAAUGUGUUUUUAGAGCAAGUAUAGACUAGAACAUUGAGAAAAUACUACACAGCUCUUUGGGUGAAAGUUGUCAAGGUAAUUUCUUUCUGGUCUGUGGUUUUCUCCACAGAUGUUGCAAAUAAAUCAGAACAAGGAUGGAGGAAUGGCAUGGGAGUUUAAUAUUCUCUAAACUGCUGACAAACCAUAAAAACUGUCUUCAGUCCUUAUUCCCAGUAAAGGAAUUACGUAGCUGGUGUGUCCUGUAGUUCUGACUUUCCCAAAUUUUGUAACUUUUUGCCUUCGGACACAGAACAGCCGAGCGCCGCCAGGUUCUUCAGGUGGCUGAUGAUCAUGAGGCUCAUUCUUUCGCUGUUCCCUCUCAGUGCCUUUCGUCCCCACUGAUGCUGAGUGACAGGCGGUGAAGGUGGAGCAGGUGUGCAGUGUCGGCCUUUGGCGUGUUGACACAGGACUUGAAGGAGACUUGAAUUUUUAAAAAUUUCUUUCAGGAGAGGGGAACCAAAGGCAUGACAGACUCCCAGAGGAAAUCACACACACCUGUUUUUUGUUUUGUUUUGUUUUUGCUUUUUGGUUUGUUUGUUUGUUUUUGGAUUUGCCGCUCUAGGCAGUUUCAGAAAACAAAUCCUAGGAUAAGACCAUCAAUAUGAGCACACCUUUGUGCUGUUCAACAUUAUUCCAAUAAGGUAAGUAGCACUUUCUGACCAGGCUCAGGGUAUUCCUCCCCGCCCCCUUCUUUUUAUUCUAAACACAGAACUA